rnacentral:rRNA from 1 species
CAGUAGCCGCGGGAAAACGAGGGGAGCUAGCGUUGUUCGGAAUUACUGGGCGUAAAGCGCGCGUAGGCGGCUUUUUAAGUCAGAGGUGAAAGCCCGGGGCUCAACCCCGGAAUUGCCUUUGAAACUGGAAGGCUAGAAUCUUGGAGAGGUCAGUGGAAUUCCGAGUGUAGAGGUGAAAUUCGUAGAUAUUCGGAAGAACACCAGUGGCGAAGGCGACUGACUGGACAAGUAUUGACGCUGAGGUGCGAAAGCGUGGGGAGCAAACAGGAUUAGAGACCCCAGUAGUCCCUGUCUCUUAUAA